AAGCCUAUCAAACUCUGAAUGCCGGAUAAUUGAUGAAUAGCAGUCAGACUGUGUGAGAUAAGUCUCAUAGUCAAAAGGGAAACAGCCCAGAUCUACAGCUAAGGUCCCAAAUGAACACUAAGUGGAAAAUGAUGUGAAACUGCGAAGACAACCAGGAUGUUGGCUUAGAAGCAGCCACUCAUUCAAAGAGUGCGUAAUAGCUCACUGGUCGAGUGGUUUUGCGCAGAAAAUGUAACGGGGCUAAGUGUUCAACCGAAGCUUAGGCAUUGCAGUAAUGCAUUGGGUAGGGGAGCGUCGUAUGCGGGGUGAAGUCAGAGCGGAAGCACUGGUGGACUGCAUACGAGUGAGAAUGCCGGAAUAAGUAGCGAGAAUUAUGUGAGAAUCAUAAUGGCCGAAAAUCUAAGGUUUCUUGGGGAAGGUUCGUCCGCCCAAGGUUAGUCGGGAGCUAAGCUCAGGCCGAAAGGCGUAGGCGAUGCACAUACGGUAGAAAUUCCGUAACCACCGAACAUUUAAGCUAGAGGGACGCUUUCUUUAAGGUUAUCCCGGGCGAUGGUUGCCCCGGGCGUAAGGGACCGAAAUAUAGUAGGGAAGUAACUGGCGAGAGAGACGAGAAAAGCUCUAGUGUAUACUAAGGUGCCCGUACCGCAAACCGACACAGGUAGAUGGGAUGAGUAUUCUAAGGCCAACGGGAGAAGGGUUGUUAAGGAACUCGGCAAAUUGACCCCGUAACUUCGGGAGAAGGGGUGCUCCAGAGAUGGAGCCGCAGAGAAUCGGCCCAAGCAACUGUUUACCAAAAACACAGGUUUGUGCUAAAUCGAAAGAUGACGUAUACGAGCUGACGCCUGCCCGGUGCUGGAAGGUUAAGAGGAGAUGUGCAAGCAUUGAAUCGAAGCCCCAGUGAACGGCGGCCGUAACUAUAACGGUCCUAAGGUAGCGAAAUUCCUUGUCAGGUAAGUUCUGACCCGCACGAAAGGCGUAAUGAUUUGGGCACUGUCUCAACAGCCCGCCCGGCGAAAUUGUAGUACCGGUGAAGAUGCCGGUUACCCGCGACAAGACGGAAAGACCCCAUGGAGCUUUACUGUAGCCUAAUAUUGGGUUUCGAUGUUGCAUGCACAGGAUAGAUGGGACACUGGGAAACAGGAGCUUUGGCUUCUGCGGAGUGGCCGUUGGGAUACCAUCCUUGCGAUAUUGGAAUUCUAACCUGCGGCUCUGAAUCGAGUCGGGGGACAUUGUUAGGUGGGCAGUUUGACUGGGGCGGUCGCCUCCUAAAAAGUAACGGAGGCGUUCAAAGGUUCGCUCAGCUUGAACGGAAAUCAAGCAAAAGAGUGCAAACGCAGAAGCGAGCCUAACUGCGAGACUGACGGGUCGAGCAGUAACGAAAGUUGGAGUUAGUGAUCCGGCGGUAUGUGAAUGGAAAUGCCGUCGCUCAACGGAUAAAAGCUACCCUGGGGAUAACAGGCUGAUCUCCCCCAAGAGUCCACAUCGACGGGGAGGUUUGGCACCUCGAUGUCGGCUCAUCGCAUCCUGGAGCUGAAGUCGGUUCCAAGGGUUGGGCUGUUCGCCCAUUAAAGCGGUACGCGAGCUGGGUUCAGAACGUCGUGAGACAGUUCGGUCCCUAUCUGUCGUGGGCGCAGGAUAUUUGAUGGGAGCUGUCCCUAGUACGAGAGGACCGGGACGGACGUACCUCUGGCGCACCAGUUGUUCCGCCAGGAGCAUAGCUGGGCAACUACGUACGGAUCGGAUAAACGCUGAAAGCAUCUAAGCGUGAAGCCGACCCAAAGAUAAGAUAUCCCAUUGU
rnacentral:rRNA from 1 species